AGAACACAGGUCAGUCACAGAUACUACACUGAUAAUACCACGACAACUAAUACUACUAAUACUACUGAUACAGCAAUACUGAAGAUACUGUGACUCCACUCCUCAUGUUACUGCAGUAUUUCUUCUGUAUUGUUACAGGUGUAGUACAGGUGUCAUAGUACAGGUGUAAUACAGGUGUAGUACAGGUGUCAUAGUACAGGUGUGACACAGGUGUAGUACAGGUGUGACACAGGUGUAGUACAGGUGUGACACAGGUGUAGUACAGGUGUCAUAGUACAGGUGUGACACAAGUGUAGUACAGGUGUCAUAGUACAGGUGUGACACAGGUAUAGUACAGGUGUAAUAAUACAGGUGUAGUACAGGUAUAGUACAGGUGUAAUAAUACAGGUGUAGCACAGGUGUAGUACAGGUAUAGUACAGGUGUAAUAAUACAGGUGUAGCACAGGUGUAAUGCAGGCAUAAUAAUACAGGUGUAAUGCAGGCGUAAUAAUACAGGUGUAGUACAGGUAUAGUACAGGUGUAAUAAUACAGGUGUAGCACAGGUGUAAUGCAGGCGUAAUAAUACAGGUGUAAUGCAGGCGUAAUAAUACAGGUGUAGUACAGGUGUACCAGUGUUGGGGGGGCUGCUGUACUCGGGGCUCUGUGGGG